rnacentral:rRNA from 1 species
UACGGAGGAUGCAAGCGUUAUCCGGAUUCAUUGGGUUUAAAGGGUGCGCAGGCGGAAUGAUAAGUCAGUGGUGAAAUCUCCCGGCUCAACCGGGAAACUGCCAUUGAUACUGUUAUUCUUGAGUACAGUUGAAGUGGGCGGAAUGUGUCAUGUAGCGGUGAAAUGCUUAGAUAUGACACAGAACACCGAUAGCGAAGGCAGCUCACUAAGCUGUAACUGACGCUCAUGCACGAAAGCGUGGGGAU